AGAGUUUGAUCCUGGCUCAGAACGAACGCUGGCGGCAGGCCUAAUACAUGCAAGUCGAGCGCAUCCUUCGGGAUGAGCGGCGGACGGGUGAGUAACGCGUGGGAAUAUGCCCUUCUCUAAGGAAUAGCCUCGGGAAACUGAGAGUAAUACCUUAUACGCCCUUCGGGGGAAAGAUUUAUCGGAGAAGGAUUAGCCCGCGUUAGAUUAGGUAGUUGGUGGGGUAAUGGCCUACCAAGCCUACGAUCUAUAGCUGGUUUGAGAGGAUGAUCAGCCACACUGGGACUGAGACACGGCCCAGACUCCUACGGGAGGCAGCAGUAGGGAAUCUUAGACAAUGGGGGAAACCCUGAUCUAGCCAUGCCGCGUGUGUGAUGAAGGCCUUAGGGUCGUAAAGCACUUUCGCCAGAGAUGAUAAUGACAGUAUCUGGUAAAGAAACCCCGGCUAACUCCGUGCCAGCAGCCGCGGUAAUACGGAGGGGGUUAGCGUUGUUCGGAAUUACUGGGCGUAAAGCGCACGUAGGCGGAUUAGUAAGUUAAGGGUGAAAUCCCAGGGCUCAACCCUGGAACUGCCUUUAAUACUGCUAGUCUUGAGUUCGAGAGAGGUAAGUGGAAUUCCAAGUGUAGAGGUGAAAUUCGUAGAUAUUUGGAGGAACACCAGUGGCGAAGGCGGCUUACUGGCUCGAAACUGACGCUGAGGUGCGAAAGUGUGGGGAGCAAACAGGAUUAGAUACCCUGGUAGUCCACACCGUAAACGAUGAAUGCCAGACGUCAGCAAGUAUACU
rnacentral:rRNA from 1 species